AACGUAGGGGACAAGCGUUAUCCGGAUUUACUGGGCGUAAAGCGCCCGUAGGCGGCCUGACAAGUUGGACGUGAAAGCUCCUGGCUUAACUGGGAGAGGCCGUUCAAAACUGUCAAGCUAGAGUCUGGAAGAGGAGAGCGGAAUUCCCGGUGUAGUGGUGGAAUGCGUAGAGAUCAGGAGGAACACCAGUGGCGAAAGCGGCUCUCUGGUCCAAAACUGACACUGAGGGGCGAAAGCGUGGGGAGCGAACGGG
rnacentral:rRNA from 1 species